AAACUGCUGCCGCUGUAGCUGCUGCUGUUGCUGCAGCGGAGUUGGAGUUGGAGUCGUCGUCGUUGUAGCUGCUGCUGCUGCUGCUGCUGCGGCUGUUGCAAGGGAGCUGCUGUAGUAGAGGUGGUGGCUGCCAUGGCUGCUGCUGCCGGAGCUGCUGGAGCUGUUGCUGCA
rnacentral:sRNA from 1 species